AGAGUUUGAUCAUGGCUCAGAACGAACGCUGCGGCACGCCUAACACAUGCAAGUCGAACGGAGCUGUACCUUUGGGUACAGACUUAGUGGCAGACGGGUGAGUAACGCGUGGGAACGUAUCCUAUAGUACGGGACAACCUUUGGAAACGGGGGCUAAUACCGUAUGAGCCUUGAGGGGCAAAGAUUUAUCGCUAUAGGGUCGGCCCGCGUCAGAUUAGGUAGUUGGUGGGGUAAAGGCCUACCAAGCCUGUGAUCUGUAGCUGGUUUGAGAGGAUGAUCAGCCACACUGGGACUGAGACACGGCCCAGACUCCUACGGGAGGCAGCAGUGGGGAAUAUUGGACAAUGGGGGGAACCCUGAUCCAGCGAUGCCGCGUGAGUGAAGAAGGCCUUCGGGUUGUAAAGCUCUUUUAUCAGUGAAGAUGAUGACGGUAACUGAUGAAUAAGCCCCGGCUAACUUCGUGCCAGCAGCCGCGGUAAUACGAAGGGGGCUAGCGUUGUUCGGAAUUACUGGGCGUAAAGGGCGCGUAGGCGGUUAUAUUAGUCAGAUGUGAAAGCCCUGGGCUUAACCUAGGAAUAGCAUUUGAUACUGUAUGUCUAGAGUGCGAGAGGGGAAAGUGGAAUUGCGAGUGUAGAGGUGAAAUUCGUAGAUAUUCGCAAGAACACCGGCGGCGAAGGCAGCUUUCUGGCUCGUAACUGACGCUGAGGCGCGAAAGCGUGGGGAGCAAACAGGAUUAGAUACCCUAGUAGUCC
rnacentral:rRNA from 1 species